AGGGCGUACGGUGGAUGCCUAGGCACUUGGAACUGAAGAAGGACGCAACAAACGGCGAAACGCGACGGGGAGUGGUACGUACACAAAGAUCCGUCGAUAUCCGAAUGGGGAAACCCGGCAGCAGUAAUGAGCUGUCACCCAUGAGUGAAUACAUAGCUCAUGAGGGAGGUACCCGGAGAACUGAAACAUCUAAGUAUCCGGAGGAAAAGAAAAUAAGAAUGAUUCCGUAAGUAGCGGCGAGCGAACGCGGAGGAGCCCAAACCAGAUCUUGAUCUGGGGUUGUAGGACCACGAGAUGGCAAGAGCAAGGCUAAGAGAACGGCAUUGAAAGGCCGACCGGAGAGGGUGCAAGUCCCGUAACUGAAAGUCUAGCGAAGCCUAGUGGUAUCCUGAGUACGGCGAGACACGAGAAAUCUUGUCGGAAGCAGGCGGGACCAUCCGUCAAGGCUAAAUAUACCCAAGUGACCGAUAGUGAACCAGUACCGUGAGGGAAAGGUGAAAAGAACCGCGGGAGCGGAGUGAAAUAGAACCUGAAACCGUAUGCUUACAAGAAGUCAGAGCCCGUUAAAGGGUGAUGGCGUGCCUUUUGUAGAAUGAACCGGCGAGUUACGUUAUCGUGCGAGGUUAAGUAGAAGAUACGGAGCCGAAGCGAAAGCGAGUCUUAAUAGGGCGACAGUACGAUGAUGUAGACCCGAAACCGUGUGAUCUAGCCAUGACCAGGUUGAAGUUCAGGUGAAACUGAAUGGAGGACCGAACCGACCCCCGUUGAAAAGUUGGCGGAUGAGUUGUGGCUAGGGGAGAAAUUCCAAUCGAACACGGAUAUAGCUGGUUCUCCCCGAAAUAGCUUUAGGGCUAGCGUCGAGGUAGAGUCGCAUGGAGGUAGAGCACUGAAUGUACGAUGGCCCCAUCCCGGGGUACUGAGUAUAAUCAAACUCCGAAUGCCAUGCAGACGUACUCGGCAGUCAGACUGUGGGUGAUAAGGUCCAUGGUCAAAAGGGAAACAGCCCAGACCGCCAGUUAAGGUCCCAAAAUGUAUGCUAAGUGGAAAAGGAUGUGGGGAUGCACAGACAACUAGGAGGUUGGCUCAGAAGCAGCCAUCCUUCAAAGAGUGCGUAACAGCUCACUAGUCGAGUGACCCUGCGCCGAAAAUGUACCGGGGCUAAGCAUACUACCGAAGCUGCGGAUUCAACUUUAGAGUUGAGUGGUAGGGGAGCGUUGCAUGCACGUAGAAGCUGUACCGUAAGGAGCAGUGGAGAGCAUGGAAGAGAGAAUGCCGGUGUGAGUAGCGAGAUGUAGGUGAGAAUCCUACACACCGAUAGCCCAAGGAUUCCAGGGGAAGGUUCGUCCGCCCUGGGUAAGUCGGGACCUAACGCGAGGCCGAAAGGCGUAGUGGAUGGAAAACAGGCAGAUAUUCCUGUACCCGCGAUGGAAAUGAAGGAAUGACGGAGAAGGCUAGUGUGAGCCACUUAGUGGAUUGUGGUCGAAGCAUAUAGCAGGCUGACAGUGAAAUGCGUCAGCGGGAUGUAAGAUGUGAUAGGUAAGGGAACGUCCUCGGGCAAGUACUGAAGCACAUGAUGCCAGCUUCCAAGAAAAGUUUCUAGUAAUGAUUCCAUAGCGGCCCGUACCAAAACCGACACAGGUGGGCAAGGAGAGAAUCCUGAGGUGAGCGAGAGAACUGUUGCCAAGGAACUCGGCAAAAUGACUCCGUAAGUUAGCGAUAAGGAGUGCUCUUGUAAAAGAGAGCCGCAGUGAAGAGGCCCAAGCGACUGUUUAACUAAAACACAGCUCUCUGCAAAGUCGCAAGACGAAGUAUAGGGGGUGACGCCUGCCCGGUGCUGGAAGGUUAAGAGGAUUUGUCAUCCGCAAGGAGAAGCAAUGAAUUGAAGCCCCAGUGAACGGCGGCCGUAACUAUAACGGUCCUAAGGUAGCGAAAUUCCUUGUCAGGUAAGUUCUGACCCGCACGAAAGGCGUAACGAUUUGGGCGCUGUCUCGGCAGCAGACUCGGUGAAAUCUUAGUACCUGUGAAAAUGCAGGUUACCCGCAACUAGACGGAAAGACCCCAUGGAGCUUUACUGUAGCCUGAUAUUGAAUUUUGAUCAAAGAUGUACAGGAUAGGUGGGAGGCUGUGAGACGUGUACGCCAGUAUACGAGGAGCCGCUGUUGGGAUACCACUCUUGUUUGAUUGAAGUUCUAACCUGCACCCAUGAACUGGGUGAGGGACCGUGUCAGGUGGGCAGUUUGACUGGGGCGGUCGCCUCCUAAAGAGUAACGGAGGCGCCCAAAGGU
rnacentral:rRNA from 1 species